CUCUCCGAACAGCACUUCAAUGACUUUGUUAGCUGCAGGAAAUGAGGAUUUGUGGAAACAGUAAAAGGGCGGGAUACGAAGUAAGGUUUGGAUUAAUACGGCAAGCCUAUCGGGCGACACUGAUGUUUCUGGUAGGAAUAAACUCUUCAAUGCAUAACGGCCAUGUACACGUCGCCGUGGUGAUUCAGAGUCACCUCAGAGUCAAAGUAAUUACGAGCCGCCGACCGCCACAACAAAGUAACUUGAGUAAUUAGGUUUUUAUUAUGACGUUACAACUGUUGAUGUAUGAGCUAAUUAUAUCGUAAAUCAUAACAUUAGCACGUGUAUUAUAUGCGGGAUGUCGCAGGAUUAACACCUCAGACAGAGUCAGUGGAAAACACAACAAAUCUAUGGCAGACAUUAGUAGGAUGAUGAAAAUAAAGAAAGAAAGAAACUUCUAGGGCUGUUCCAACUCACGCGAGGCUGUCACCAUGACUACGAGACACGUCGAUCCGUGAGAAAGAAGUCUGCAAAGAUUCGUCUGUUCACAAAGGGGUCCUGCGUGUAACGUCACUUGGUUUCCUUGGGACACGAAGCUCAUCUCCUUGCUAAUUCGGGAAGGACCAAAUUCCUUUGAAAUGCAAUUGUAGACCAAGAAUCAGAUAUCCUGACCCUUGGACAAAGUCUCCAAGUUCAUUAUGUGACAUUCAGAAACACCUUCAAUGUGCGAAGUUUACGAAUGAAGCAUUUCUUCGGCUGGCCGGAUUUAUUCAUCAGGCACAUGAGCCACUGUUGUCGAGAGAAAUCUCUGCGUUCGACGUCCGUGUGAAAUACAAGGGUACCAGAGGGGUUUAGAGGGGUAGCAGACAAGGAAAUAUAUAGUUCCCACACCAUGAACAUUCCCUUGAUUCUAUGUCAGUAAUAUCUUUCUGUAUGAGUUUCUUUGUUUUUGCCCUCAAACUAGACGCCAGAUCUCCAAAGCUGCCCUUUGAAAGCAAACCUAACCUAACCAAACCUAACCUAACCUAACUUAAACUAAUCUAACCAAACCU